GCAUUAUACCGUGAAACUGCGAAUGGCUCAUUAAAUCAGUUAUCGUUUAUUUGAUAGUACCUUACUACUUGGAUAACCGUGGUAAUUCUAGAGCUAAUACAUGCUGAAAACCCUGACUUCGGAAAGGGUGUAUUUAUUAGAUAAAAAACCAAUGCCCUCUGGGCUCUUUGGUGAUUCAUGAUAACUUAACGGAUCGCAUGGCCUUGCGCCGGCGACGGUUCAUUCAAAUUUCUGCCCUAUCAACUUUCGAUGGUAAGGUAUUGGCUUACCAUGGUUUCAACGGGUAACGGGGAAUUAGGGUUCGAUUCCGGAGAGGGAGCCUGAGAAACGGCUACCACAUCCAAGGAAGGCAGCAGGCGCGCAAAUUACCCAAUCCCGACACGGGGAGGUAGUGACAAUAAAUACUGAUACAGGGCUCCAGGGCUCUUUUGGGUCUUGUAAUCGGAAUGAGUACAAUUUAAACCUCUUAACGAGGAACAAUUGGAGGGCAAGUCUGGUGCCAGCAGCCGCGGUAAUUCCAGCUCCAAUAGCGUAUAUUAAAGUUGUUGCAGUUAAAAAGCUCGUAGUUGAAUCUUGGGCCUGGCUGGCCGGUCCGCCUCACCGCGUGUACUGGUCUGGCCGGGCCUUUCCUUCUGGAGAACCUCAUGCCCUUCAGUGGGUGUGUUGGGGAACCAGGACUUUUACUUUGAAAAAAUUAGAGUGUUCAAAGCAGGCCUUUGCUCGAAUACGUUAGCAUGGAAUAAUAGAAUAGGACGUGCGGUCCUAUUUUGUUGGUUUCUAGGACCGCCGUAAUGAUUAAUAGGGAUAGUCGGGGGCAUCAGUAUUCAAUUGUCAGAGGUGAAAUUCUUGGAUUUAUUGAAGACUAACUACUGCGAAAGCAUUUGCCAAGGAUGUUUUCAUUAAUCAGUGAACGAAAGUUAGGGGAUCGAAGACGAUCAGAUACCGUCGUAGUCUUAACCGUAAACUAUGCCGACUAGGGAUCGGGCGAUGUUUUUAUCUUGACUCGCUCGGCACCUUACGAGAAAUCAAA
rnacentral:rRNA from 1 species